ACACUCUUGAUUACCUGUAGUGUUUUCAAAAGGGUCUAGUUGAAAUGAUGCAGGUUUUUAAUAGUGUUUUAAUGGUUCUAGAGACAGAUUAGCAAGGUUUCUUCAUGAACUGGGUCCUAAUUGGCUUAGUGUGUGAUGCACAGUGUCUGAAAAUAAUUUGGUUGCCUUUCAUCGGUUUUAUUAAGCGAAAUAUUGAUACCUAACGCCCAACAUGUAGGUAUUAUUAACAUUAUAUUAAAAAUUAACACCACAGCCAGCGAACUUAGCUGUCAUAGGCUCCAGGAAUGCUUGAAAUGAAUGAAAUAAUAUAUAAGGAUAAUAAUAAUAAUAAGGAAAUAAUGUUUCAGCAUUUCGUAGUGAUAGAAAUGUGGAUAGCAAUAUUUUCUUAUCUUUUUUUGUCUUUUGAAUUCAGCGGCUGUUCAUAAAAGUAAAAAGAAAAGAAUCUUAAAAGAAAUCUGUUAAGCUACUAUAGAGGGUUACAAUCCGAUAUUAUAUAGUAUUUCAACCUUAAUCUUUCCUAGUACCGAUGCUCUUUUGUUUGUUGUUGUUGUGAGGGAGAGAGCAUUUCUGUCGUCUAUACACAAAACUUUCCAUUUCACUUACAAGAUGGUGAAAAGAACGAACCUUGCUUAUUAUACACGGUUUUUAACGCUAUAACACUUCUUUACUUGGAUUUUACUCUCAAAAACUAUGACUGUGUUGGUGAUAGAACCCUGGCAGGAAGAGGUGAUGUUGCCUUGGAUAUUCAGAGUGAGGGAGACUGGCAGAAGACACAAGGUUCGGAGGCCUCCAGAGAGCUGCCCAGAGUGAAGCUUGUGGUAUAGAGGAACAGCUGCUGAUCAUCAAGCUUACGGAGUGACUGGAGGAAAGUGGGAGGAGCCUGGAGGGAGUGGUGGAGAUACCAGGAUAUGUGACCACCACCACCACCCCCACCACCACCACCACCACCACCACCACCACCACCACCACCAUUGGAGUCCCCUCUCUAGUUGGACAUUACGGCCCUGUUGUGUACCCUGGUGGCCUUCAUAGUUGACCGCUGAGUGCAGCUGUCGGUGACUGCAGGAAUGGACCUCAGAUGGUGGACACAGCAUUACCAAGUCAAGAAGUUGUCCAGUAUUUUAUCUCUGCUCUCAAACAAGCAAUGACCAGUGGUGGUGUUGUUCAUGUCUGGCUUGUGUGUGUGUGUGUGUGUGUGUGUGUGUGUGUGUGUGUGUGUGUGUGUGUGUGUGUGUGUGUGUGUGUGUGUGUGAGUUUGUUCAUCCAUUAUGAUUUGAAGAGAUUGUGUUUGUAUUUUUAUUGUGGGACUCUGUGAUUAUACUUUGAAAUGAUACGGCCUUAAAAUUGACCUUUGACCCUGUGUGGUAGUGGAGUGAGGCUUGUGACAGUUAGGAAUUGGUUGUCAAAAAGUGACCACAUUGGUUUUUCCUCAGUUGCUUUAGCCAUGAAAGUUCUAUUCCUUGUGUUCUUUGUCAUGAUGAUGUUUGAUUCCCUUGGUUUCCAAUUGGUUGCCUUUGUGUGAGUUUUGAUCCAGUCAUUUACUUCCCUACUUACUGAAUUCCAGGAAACAAAGGGAUUGCUUGCUCCUUUUGCUUCCUUGUGGACAAAUUCACUGCUAAUAGUUUGUUAUUUGGAAGUUUGAUUGAAGGCUUGUUCCUCCCUCUCCUCCACCCUAUGACUACUUGAUGCUAUCUAGUAAAAUUCUUCACAAUGAUGUUUUCCAUGCCUUCGCUGCCCUAAACCCUUGGAAAGCUUGGAGGGGUCCCUCCUCUUGUUCUUCAAAACUGCAUUUCUGUGCUUGCACCUUGCCAAGUCAAACUCUUUCAACUCUGUGUGUCAACAUGUAAUAAUAUUACUUCUUGCUGGAAGUUUGCCUACAUUCAGCCUGUUCCUGAAAAGGGUGACCAUUCUAAUCCCUCAUACUACUGUCCUGUUGCUUUAAUUUUCUGCCUAUCUGAAGUUUUUGAAUUUAUCCUCAAAAGGAAGAUUCUUAAACAUCUAUCACUUGACAACUUUCUAUCUAAUUGCCAGUAUGUGUUCCAUAAUGGCCAGACAAAAGAAAACAUGUGUUCAGUGGCUUCAGCCACCACCAAUGGUCUCUCUUUUUAAGAUUUCCUGCUUAACUAAUGUUUAAGUAUCUCAUUACAAAGAUAAGAAUAUAGAUAUCAUAAAGAUGGUUAUUUAUAUUGAUUAGCAUAUUAGCAUUAUGAAUGUUCCUGUUCAUACGAUUAUAACUAUCAGCAGAAAAAAUUGUAUAACGUGUCAUUCAUUUACUUGAAGCUGCAUUGUCAAGGAAGCUUGAUACACUUUUCAGUGAUGUGUUUAUGUGCUAACAUAUGUGUGCUUGGAGCAUAAAAGAUAGUCUACACUAUAUUUUGACAAAUAAACAGUUGGUAUGAAAAAAUUACUUUUACCUACAGCACUUACUUAAUUUGCAUUUGGGCACCAUCUCUUUGAAAAUAGUCCAUUUGAGCAGCAAUACAGCAGCACAUUCAGCACUGUUGUCACCCCUGAAACUUAUUCUGGAAGUGUUGUUCUCUAAGCAUGUCAAGCAUCUACUGUUUGUGCAGAAUCAUCUCCACAAUGGACAGAAGAAGCAUCAGGCCAAAGUCUGUCAGGAAUUCUGUCAGCCAGCCAUGAAUGACCCAACCUUCAUGUCAAAGGACAUCUCUGGGAACAAAAUUUGGGUUUACAGGUAUAACCCCCUAACCCAAACAAGUCUUUACAAUAGAAGAGUCCAGCAUCUCCAUGCAGGGCAUGGUUCAGGUCUGGAAAACCACUAAGAGCAUUUUUAUUCAAUGUCUUUGAGAUUCAUAGGAUAGUUCAUCAUGAAUUCAUCCCCCAAAAAAGAUCAUCAACUGCCAGUUCUACUCAAGUGUUUUGAGGCAUCUGAGGACAUUAAUUUUGGCAGAUAUGGCUUGAAAUGUGGUGCAAGGCUAAAUGGAUGCUCCAUGAUGAUGAUGAUGAUGAUGAUGAUGCACCCUCUCUUACAUAUUAUCUCUUAUAAUGCAUGGGCUUCUCAGAUGCAUGAUUAUCCCUUUGCAGCUGCCCUACUCAUCAGAUUUGGUACCAACCCUUGUGACUUGUGUCAUGCUCCCCACAUGGACAUUCAUUCUAUGGAAACAAUGAGAAAUUGAUCUCAAGAUGAGAUAAGUCUUUAGCCAUGACAAGUUGUAGCCAGCCAGGGAUUGAACCUCUCACUGAGAGAACACAAGGAUGACACCUUAGACAUUGAGACCAUGAUGACUGUCAGGUCCCAAGUUCAGUUUUAGGACAUUUAUACUCCUAAUCUCUGCACUUUUUUUUCCUGGAAAUAAUAAAGAUGCAGCUGAA